ACAAACAACAUAGUACAGCUGUAAUUCUGCUGAAACAAAUAUAUGCUCAAGAUAUAGUCACAAUUAUACAAUCGACUGUGCUUUUAGCAUUCUU